AACGACGUUCUUCUCUACGUAUAACGGAGGAUAACACACACCGUCAUUCCGGAGAUCCUCCUCCUUUGGAUAGAACCUUAAGUGCAGGAAUAUCAAUUUAAAUAUGAUGUGAAAGGUUUCCUUUUCUUCUCUGUAAGAGGAUCGUGUUGGCUAGAGGAACCUGAGAAAGACAUCAAAUAAAACUAUGUAGUACCUUUUUUCCUUGAAAGAAGAACGAAUUUUGGAUGGGAAGGGCCUGACCUGAAGCUGUGGUUUAUCCUUCC